CCUACGGGCGGCAGCAGUGGGGAAUAUUGCACAAUGGGGGAAACCCUGAUGCAGCGACGCCGCGUGAGUGAAGAAGUAUCUCGGUACGUAAAGCUCUAUCAGCAGGGAAGAAAAUGACGGUACCUGACUAAGAAGCCCCGGCUAACUCCGUGCCAGCAGCCGCGGUAAUACGUAGGGGGCAAGCGUUAUCCGGAUUCACUGGGUGUAAAGGGAGUGUAGACGGCAGCACAAGUCUGGAGUGAAAUCCCGGGGCUUAACCCCGGAACUGCAUUGGAAACUGGGGGGCUGGAGUGCAGGAGGGGUAAGCGGAAUUCCUGGUGUAGCGGUGAAAUGCGUAGAUAUUAGGAGGAACACCGGUGGCGAAGGCGGCUUACUGGACUGUAACUGACGUUGAGGCUCGAAAGCGUGGGGAGCAAACGGGAUUAGAUACCCCGGUAGUC
rnacentral:rRNA from 1 species